UCACAGUGUUAAUUAUUUAACGGUCCAGCUGACAGUGUGGACUGAACAGUACAACGUGUCUAUUUUAUGUGACUGUAUGAGGUUAAAUGAUGUGUAAAAUUUAAAUUUUAAAAAAAAAAUAUUUUGAGGGGUAGGGGCUGCUUGCUCUGUAUUGAAGAAGAUGCAGAUGUUAAUGGCGCGAUGAAGACUGGCGAUGAAGGGUUUACUUACACGUUCAAAGAGUUGAUGUGGUGAUGGCGAAUCUUAGUUGGGUGAUUUCCGCGAGAGGGUUGAUGUUUGUUAUUCGCGAUGAACUCGCUAAGGGUGACUUUCAUCAUACCCAUUUAGGUUCAACUUCACGCCCCAUCCUGCCCAUCCUACACAAUCCAUUAAGUUCAUUCUCAACCCCUUUCAAUACCAAUAGAUAUCCAACAACAAGAUACCAACUCGUGAUCUUCAUCUAAUCUCAAGAUUUUCUUUCAUCUGCACAAAACAAACAGAUCAAAGCACAAUCAAAUCCCUCAAAUUAAGUACAUUCAACCCAAGAAUACACCCCCAAUCUCCCAAUUUCCACUUAGUCUGCAAACUAGCCAUCCGAACCCCCAUCCACAUCCUAUCUCCACCGCAACCAUGAAGCUCCCACCGUCGUCGCUCACCACCAAGCUUACCGUCGCCAGCACACUGUUGUAAGUCACGUGGCCGCGACCCCAAACCUUUGCGCCGUUACAGUUUCACCAUCUCCUCGGGUCUCGUCGUCGCUUGCCUCCGGCCGUUCGAAGCUUCCACCGUCGAUGUCGUUCAUCAUCGUGGUCAUCAUCAGAGACAUGAUGUCUUUGGCCUGCUUUUCGUUCUUCUCAAGAGGCCAAACGACCAACACCUUAACUCGCGGCGGGUUACCUUGCCACCUCCUAAAGUCCUCCCUUCUCUUGCUCAUUCUCAUGGAGGAAACCCUAAGAGGGGUUUGGGCUUGGCCUAUCUUCAACGCAAGCAAGCAGCCAUUUCCACGGUAUGUAGAUUAGGGAUACGCCCGAGCCUAUACCAAAACUCUAAGGAAGCCGGGACUCAAACACAAAAGAACAUUAGUUUUAUACAUCCCACUGCUAAUUUUCUUACUCUAGGACAACGACGACGAUGAGAGAUGGGGAGACACGAGAGGUGUGCCAGACGGUUGGAUUGGGCGAUGGGUGUGAAUGUAGAUGUUGAAGGGGUGGGUGUGGGAGGGUGAGAAGAAAGUUUUCCAAACUGGGGAGAAGGUGAGGUUGGAGUUGGUGAGGAAAAGGAAGGGGAAAGGGAAGGGGAGAAGGUUUCCACAUGAGAUUUUACUCUGCCACGUGUUAAUUAAAGGACAACUCAGCAUGCAACUUCGCUAGAAAGUUAAUGCCAUCCAUUGCUAUUUAACGAUAAGGGCAUUAUUGAUUCAAUUUUACUAAAAUAGAGAACGAAUUGAGUACUUCAAAA
rnacentral:lncRNA from 1 species